CCACUAUGUCGCCAUAAUAGGUGGGUGGCACACGGCAGGAAAGCCUGGUGGCCCCAGCCGUUUCGUGCCAGCCCCCUCGGCCCCAGUGUCACCUCUCUCAGCCCUAAUGCCCAGGCUGGGUGUCACUGUCGGUCGCUGCCCAGUGCGGCCCGGAGGUCGCUGCUUGUCAGCACCCAGGGUUGCUGGCAUCUGGAGCUCUUCGGGGUGAACAGUCCUAGUGUUUGUAGCUAGUUAUAAAGCAGCUGAUCUGCCCCCCAAGUUGGGAUGGAUUUAAAGACCUUCAGAGUCCAAACUACCCAAGAUGAAAAUCAGGAAUGGAUUUACAGAGCCACUGGAGAGAGGUUUUCGCUGUAACAACCUGCACAGCAGCACCUGGAAAUCACCUGGAAGUCGGUGCAUUACCGGAAGCCGUGCAGGACCGAACUCAGCGGUGUGAGGGGGGUGCGGCUGAGGUAGAAGCUACAGGCCUGCGAUUGGUCCAAAUUCGGGUCUGCUGAUUGGCUCAGGUGGACCCUGGGCUCGCUCUGAAACACUCUGAGGCCGCUUCAUAAUCAAACAUGUCAUCCUCCUUCUCAACCUUCCCUUGGCCUCUUUCUCCAUCUCAGGUCUGCAGAGCUGUGGGCCACGUGUGGAUCCCGAGGUCAGGCACCGAGCCUGAGUGUCCCAGGCCUCAGAGCCACAGGCGUGGGAGGCCUGUGUCCCAGGGACACUGUGCCCUCCCCAAGCUCCAAACAGACAUUUACCCUGCGGCACUUUCCAGAGGGCCUUCUCAGCCAGGGGCGGAACUGCCCGUCGGGUAUGGGAGCCCAGCACUUCCUGCUUGUCAGCUUCCUGUCACUGCAGGAGACACGAGCUCGUCAACAGGUGAGGCAAAGGUUUGCAGGGGCACAGGCAGACUGGCAGGCUCCGGGCCAGGGUCAGCUGACAGUGUGCUGUGGGCCUGAGGUGGUGGUCGAAGCACAGAGAAGUUGCUCACCUCCUUGUGGCUGAGUAACAAAGAGAGGGAGAGGAAGAGGCCGGGUCCCACUGCCCCACAGGGCACCGAGCCUCCAUCCAGGCCCUGCCUCCUGAAGAGUUGCAGGAGGCUGAACUGGCCUCCACCUCUCAGAAGUCUGCUCUUGGACUUGGGGACCUUGGGACGGCCCUGGAGGCUGGACUGCAGCUGAAGUCCACAGCGGUUCGGAAGGGGCAGGGAACUAGGGCCAAGGCAAGACACACAGAACCUGGGCAGGGCUCCUAGAACCUGUCACACCCAGGCAGAUUCGGGGCU
rnacentral:lncRNA from 1 species